AACAUGGGCAAAUGGAACUAGUUCAGUUUAGGAUAUGUGAUCAGCAUGGAUGAGUUGAAUGGAAGGAUUUGCUUCUGUGCUGUAUGACUCUAUGACUCAUUCCAUUAUUAUCUGUAGAAUUAUCAAUCUUAACACCUCCCACAUUCAAUCUCCCUGUAAUUGAGCUCACCCACACUCUGCUGCCUGUUUCUUUACUCACACCAACUCUUGCUAAGCUGUCCACAGUGACAUCACAACAUUCUCCUACAAGAUGGCUGCCCUUUGAAGAUGGCAUCCCUGAUGCCUGCACACACCCUGUUCUCUCAUCACCAUGUCAGCCGUAAACCUUGGCUUAUCCCUUGGAUAAAGAACCAGAUGUCCCAAUGAGGGGCCUGGAUGUUCUUUUUUGGGGGUUGAGGCAUGGUGUCUUGGGUCUGCACAAACAAGUGAUCAACACAAAGGAUGUGAGACUCCAUGAGUUAUUUGAAAGGAGAUUCAUCAGAAUGGUUCACGGAUUGAGGGAUAUUAGUUGUAAUGUCAGGCUGGAGAAAUGCAAGUUAUACUGCAUGGAACAAAGGAGAUUGGGGUGAGAUUUGUUAAAGGUGUCGAGGGUUAUGAUAGCUUUCGGUAAUAUAGGUAAAGGCCAGCUGUUCCCCAGAGCUGAUGGUGAAAGUUUUUGGGACACAGAAUUAAGGUUUGGGCAAGAGUUUUUUUUUAAUUUGUGGAAUGUAGGCAUUGCUGACUGCCAGCAUUGUUGCGCAUCCCUUGUUGCCCAUGAGAAGGUAAUGGCGAUCUGCUUCUUAAACUGCUGCAGUCCACCUUCUGUGGGUUGACCCACAAUGGCAUUAGGGAGGGCAUCCAGGAUUUUGAUCUAGCAACUGAAGAAAUGCCAGUAUAUUUCCAAGUCAGAAUGGUGGGUGACCCGACAGGAAUUUGAAUGUGAUAGUGUACCCAUAUAUCUACUGCCUUUGGCCUUCCAAAUUGAAGCGAUUGUUUCGAAGGUGUGUCUGAGAAACUUUGGUGAACUCUGUCUCUGACUCUCCCCUCUCAAAGACUUAAUUCCAAAUCUGUCUCCCACAUCUCUUUCCUCCAUUCCCAGUUUUCUCCCUUUCUCCCUCUGCCUGUCUCCAGUUCUCCAGUUCCUGUCUGCAGACUGAGAAUCAGAUCAAUGAGCCAAUCAGUCCUGACGAAGGGUUUCGGAUGGAAACGUUGACUUUCCUGCUCGUUGGAUGCUGUCUGACCUGCUGUGCUUUUCCAGCUCUACAUUUAUUGAGUCAGUCAUUGUCUGUCCUGGUCACAUGAGCCGUAGAGUUGCUGUCCACUAGUUAUGUCACCAAGCCGGCCACACGUGCAUGGACUUCUCUGAAACAAGAUGGUGGCCGUGAACAAGGCCAUGAGCAUGAGGAAAUAAUAGCAACACGGGACCUGCGGGGUUUUAUUCGAUGAUUGUGGUCGACAGUAGGUGUUUAUGGACCCUUCCUGCUAUUUUGCUCGUCAUACUUACUGGCUGCCGAGAGAUAAACCGAUUAACUCCCAUCGCCAAUAUCAGCCUCGCACAUGCUCAGAACAUAGUGCAGCACUGCGCAGCCCCAUUGGUCACUGUUGUCAGAUUAGAGGACAUUCAACACUGCAGGGGCUUCUGGGUAAAUCUACCAUUGUUCAAUUUGUUAGAUAAUACUUAUUCAGUGGGGCUGAGAGUGUCAUCGAUUCCGCUCAAUUUCCAGUCCUCAUGGUCUGCAGUCUCCCAGGUGGAGCUUUGCCGCUGCUGUGUUUUGUGGUUCUUCAGCUGCAGAGAAGCUGUUUUCACUUAUUGAGCUAUUCUGGGCCAUUAAUAGAGGAAAAAUUCAGCAUCCAGAUUCAGCACAGACUUUCCUCCUCCUGAUGCCCUGUACUUCUCCUGACAGGUCUUGUUGGCGCCGAGGGAUUCAUUGUCCUGGAAACUCACAGCAAGAAGAGUGAAGGAGUAAAUGGGGGUUCUGUUAGUGGUUCCAGGGUCUGAGGUCUGGAGCCUGAGUUGACUGGGCAAGUGAGUCACUGUAAACCACUGUUAAAUAAUUUUUCCACAAAAUUUAAAUCAAAACUCAUUUUACCAAUAAAACAAUUUAAAGUGGA